UCAAGAUUUAGAGUCUGGGAUCCCUUCACAAAGUCCCAGCAGUCCUCCCUACUCCUGGGAAGUGGGUGCCUGGGAAGAUGACACAUUCACAGGAUUUUCUAGGAUGUCACAUCUGAAGGCCCUUUGGGGAGAAGAAGCAUGUUGGAAGUCCUGGGGCGAUGGAAGAAAAGUAGCUUUCUGAUGCCUCAAUUAUCUCCCAUCUCCCUGCCUGGCUGCCUGCCAUCCUGGGUGCUGGUUGAGACUCAGCUGCUGGAGACACUCAGUGCACUGCAAGAAGCCCGGAGGGUGACCGCUAGUAACCCAGCGGCACAUGACAGUGGCCAGCUGCCAGCUGGCUCCCUCCCGAAGCCUCCCAGCUGGCAACAGCUCCAAAGUCAGACAAGCCACGGCUCCUGGGCUGUCUCAGGGGAUGAGUUUUUAUGGCCUUGUUUUAUAUAACUUCCUGGCAAGAUCUGAACAAGAAGUAGCAUCGCUUGGAAUAGGAGGAGCAAGAAGCAAUGUUUCACUCUCACUUCUGCCAGACACUGUGCUAAAUGUACAUUGCUUAGUCUUCCCUGCAAGCCUGUAAGGAACCCUGUGGAGAUUAAAUCUAUCCAUGAAGGUGGCCUAACGAGUCCCAGCAGAGCUUAGAUGUUGCCCAAGGAUUCGGACAGUAGGAGUGGCUACUGUGCAGGGCCCAUUCACUGAGCUUGACUUGGGAUGGAUGAUUGGACGCUGAGACCAUGAGACAUGCAAAGUGACUCUGGCAAGGAGAAUAUCAAUGCUCAGUGAUCUGCCACCCCAUUCUGCAUAAGAUGAAUCAUUUUCCAUUCGGAUGAUGUCAACCUCCUGAUGCCCUGCCUGCACACAUCCUGGAAAUAGAAACAAAGAUGCGACUUUGAGAACAAAUUAAAUAAAUAUUCAU